rnacentral:rRNA from 1 species
GACGAACGCUGGCGGCGUGCUUAACACAUGCAAGUCGAACGGAAAGGCCCUGCUUUUGUGGGGUGCUCGAGUGGCGAACGGGUGAGUAACCCGUGAGUAACCUGCCCUUGACUUUGGGAUAACUUCAGGAAACUGGGGCUAAUACCGGAUAGGAGCUUCUGUCGCAUGGUGGGGGUUGGAAAGUUUCGGCGGUUGUGGAUGGACUUGCGGCCUAUCAGCUUGUUGGUGGGGUAGUGGCUUACCAAGGCUUUGACGGGUAGCCGGCCUGAGAGGGUGACCGGCCACAUUGGGACUGAGAUACGGCCCAGACUCCUACGGGGGGCAGCAGUGGGGAAUAUUGCACAAUGGGCGGAAGCCUGAUGCAGCAACGCCGCGUGCGGGAUGACGGCCUUCGGGUUGUAAACCGCUUUCGCCUGUGACGAAGCGUGAGUGACGGUAAUGGGUAAAGAAGCACCGGCUAACUACGUG